rnacentral:lncRNA from 1 species
AAGCAGAAAAUUGAUGACCGGGACUCCGAGGAAGAAGGACCAUCCAACCGGCGAGGCCCUGGGCCCCACAGAGGUGGAAAGCGAGGUCGUAGUCAAGGUGCGUCCCAGUCCCGAGCUUCCAGUGUACCCACAGGCCACAUGCGCUCCGAACUCAAGACCAAGGAACAGAUCCUCAAGCAGCGCCGUCAAGCCCAGAAGCAGCGCUUCCUGCAGCGAGGGGGCCUGAAGCAGCUUUCAGCACGCAACCGCCGCCGAGCCCAGGAGUUGCGCCAGAGCGCCUUUGGCCGGGGUGCUCCCACCAGGAAGGGCAAGAUGAGGAAAAGGAUGUAAAGAGCCAGACUCAGCCCUGGGGCUUCCUAGUAGCCCUGGUGCGGACAUCAGGGACAUGUUUCCAUGUGCUGUUGGCAGAUCCUUCCACAGAGGAGCCAGUGUUGAGUUCAUACUGAGUGUCCUGUGGAAGGCUCACAAUGGCGUGAGCUGCCAUGGCUCCAUCUUGCCAGGAGAAAGGAGAUUCAGAGAGCAGUUGUGUUAAGCCUGCACACCAAGAAACGUGGGACUUGGUUCCUCGGGUUCCCUUCACUGUUCGCCUAGUCGGUUUAGGAGGCAGUCUCUGUGGGUUUAGCCUUAGGUUGGUCAAAGCUGGCCAGUAUGGCUGAGACACUCAUGAUAAACUGCUUCACCUGGGGGCAGGAACGACAUGGUCCGAUUACAUCCUCUCCCUACCCCUACAGAAGGAAGCCCAGGGCAGGGGCAGGCUGGGAAACCCCACUGGAGAGGCACUGGUAGUGUCUAGUCCAGCCUCUUAAAAGUUUCCUUUGUUUUACUUAUUGAUAAAGUAACUCAAACUUGACCUCUAA